rnacentral:rRNA from 1 species
GGGUGAGUAACGCGUGGAUAACCUACCUAUAAGACUGGGAUAACUUCAGGAAACCGGAGCUAAUACCGGAUAAUAUAUUGAACCGCAUGGUUCAAUAGUGAAAGACGGUAUUGCUGUCACUUAUAGAUGGAUCCGCGCCGCAUUAGCUAGUUGGUAAGGUAACGGCUUACCAAGGCAACGAUGCGUAGCCGACCUGAGAGGGUGAUCGGCCACACUGGAACUGAGACACGGUCCAG